ensembl:lncRNA
CCCCUUCCCUUUGAGGAAGUGGCCUUUUCUUCUCACUAAUCAAGACAUCCCGCACGUGUCAUCACCUUUCACUGCGCAGAGGAGCCUGGUCAUUCUCAGAAUUUGCCAGCACUUCCAAGACAAUGGGAAAGCAGUCUCUGGGGCCCCCUCUAGAUUCAAAACACAUGGCCAGCAAGUGAGCUGCAGUGUGACGAUCAGAGCGAUGCAUCUGGUUCUGGUCACUUCCCCCUGGAGAGGCCCCACACCAGCCCCCUUCCUGCUCCCACAGCUGCAAACAAUUCUUCCCAGUGACUCGGUGGUUCUCAAGUGGAGGAGGAUGCGAUUUUACUCUCAGGGAACAGCUGGCGAAGUCUGGAGACAAGUUCGGCCGUCGUAACUGAGAGCAGGUGCUGUUGGCGUCCAGCGGGCGGAGCCCAGAGACGCUGCUCGGUGCCUUGCAAUGCACAGGACCGCCCCCACGACAAACCCUGCCAGCCCAGAUGCCAGCAGUGUCUGCAAAACGCCUGCAUUGGGCCUAGAAUAUGCUCCGUUGUGUCUGACUCUUUGUGACCCCAUGGACUGCAGCACGCCAGGCUUCCCUGUCCAUCACCAACUCCUGGAGCCUGAUGAUUUAUUAUAAAAGGAUACCAGUCAGGAAUAGCCCAGUGGAAGAGAUGCAGAAAGCAAGAUAUGUGAGGAGGGGGCACCAUGAUUCCAGCACGUUCCUGUGUUCACCAACCCAGAGGCUCUCUGAACCUCACCCUCUCAGGUUUUCAUGGAGGCGUCAUGACAUACACAUGAUUGAUUCCACCACUGGCCACUGCUAACUGAACUCAGUCUCCUGAACUGCUCCCCUUCCAGUAUAUAGGAGGGAAGUUGAGAGUAUGACACAGACCUGGCAGGAUUCCUGCUGAAGGCAGGUCAGGGUGAUCUGACAUCAGCAGGAAGAGGUGGAGG